rnacentral:lncRNA from 1 species
AGAUAAAGAUUGUUUUGUGUGUUUGCAGGUUCAGUCCAAUCACCACAGAGAAUUACAAGAAGUCUUCAUGGCAACCAAUUUGUAAAAAAAAAAAAAGUACCCAAGUGUAACGGAUGUGAAACGGCUAGCUUAGUUAGCGGUGCGCGCUAAAUAGCGUUUCAAUCGGUGACGUCACUUGCUCUGAGACCUUGUUGAUGUGUGCAGAGGGUCCCUGAUUCGCACCCGGGUAUGGGCGAGGGGACGGUCUGAAGUUAUACUAUUACAUAAGUAUCAAGUUAUAAUUGUUAAUAGCAUUAUUUAAGGCUAAGGCCAAAGCCUUUUGUAUAAAAGCCUUCCUGUUUCCUUCAGGGGAUCGCCUUACUAUGUGCUGGUCAACGUGCCUUGGGAGAAUGGGAGCGGCGAUGGUAUUUCUUGUAACAAAGACAGUUGUACGAAGCUCCCGGAGCCCGAAGAUGAUGUAGGCCUAUGGAUGUUGUGACUUGUGACACUGAAAAUUAAAUAAAUUGUUGUUGCAUAAUGUUGUCUUGAUUCCCAUGCUCCACUCCUUGAUUGAAAUAACCUGUGUUAUGUUUAUCUUAGUACCUCGCCUCGCUUCUUAAAAAGGUGGUGCGGCUGUGUCGACAGGAAUAUUAUGUUAAUUUCCCUGACGUCACAUCCGCAUUGCAUACUUACUCCCAUUCACAGAUAAUUUGUUAGUAGGACAUGACGUGAUCCAGCUUGUGUGUGUAAUAUAACUGCUUGACCUACCUUGCAGAACAUGGACCAG